GACGAACGCUGGCGGCGUGCUUAACACAUGCAAGUCGAACGGAAAGGCCCUGCUUUUGUGGGGUGCUCGAGUGGCGAACGGGUGAGUAACACGUGAGUAACCUGCCCUUGACUUUGGGAUAACUUCAGGAAACUGGGGCUAAUACCGGAUAGGAGCUCCUGCUGCAUGGUGGGGGUUGGAAAGUUUCGGCGGUUGGGGAUGGACUCGCGGCUUAUCAGCUUGUUGGUGGGGUAGUGGCUUACCAAGGCUUUGACGGGUAGCCGGCCUGAGAGGGUGACCGGCCACAUUGGGACUGAGAUACGGCCCAGACUCCUACGGGAGGCAGAAGUGGGGAAUAUUGCACAAUGGGCGGAAGCCUGAUGCAGCAACGCCGCGUGCGGGAUGACGGCCUUCGGGUUGUAAACCGCUUUCGCCUGUGACGAAGUGUGAGUGACGGUAAUGGGUAAAGAAGCACCGGCUAACUACGUG
rnacentral:rRNA from 1 species